rnacentral:rRNA from 1 species
CGACCCCUAAGGUGAGGCCGAAAGGCGUAAUCGAUGGGAAACGGGUUAAUAUUCCCGUACUUCUGACUAUUGCGAUGGGGGGACGGAGAAGGCUAGGUGGGCCAGGCGACGGUUGUCCUGGUUCAAGUGCGUAGGCUUGAGAGUUAGGUAAAUCCGGCUCUCUCUAAGGCUGAGACACGACGUCGAGCUACUACGGUAGUGAAGUCAUUGAUGCCAUGCUUCCAGGAAAAGCCUCUAAGCUUCAGAUAGUCAGGAAUCGUACCCCAAACCGACACAGGUGGUCGGGUAGAGAAUACCAAGGCGCUUGAGAGAACUCGGGUGAAGGAACUAGGCAAAAUGGUACCGUAACUUCGGGAGAAGGUACGCUCUUGAUGGUGAAGUCCCUCGCGGAUGGAGCUGACGAGAGUCGCAGAUACCAGGUGGCUGCAACUGUUUAUUAAAAACACAGCACUGUGCAAAAUC